rfam:Caenorhabditis brenneri strain PB2801 C_brenneri-6.0.1_Cont42.7, whole genome shotgun sequence.
GCCGAGAGAAGCUGAAGGGAGCUUUCUGGUGACAGUUCGAUUUUGAACUCUUACUGUCAUGGAGGCGCUCUCUUCAGAUGAUCUUUG